UACGAAGGGGGCUAGCGUUGCUCGGAAUGACUGGGCGUAAAGGGCGCGUAGGCGGAUGGUACAGUCAGAUGUGAAAUUCCCGGGCUUAACCUGGGGGCUGCAUUUGAUACGUGCGAUCUGGAGUGAGGAAGAGGGUCGUGGAAUUCCCAGUGUAGAGGUGAAAUUCGUAGAUAUUGGGAAGAACACCGGUGGCGAAGGCGGCGACCUGGUCCUUGACUGACGUUGAGGCGCGAAAGCGUGGGGAGCAAACAGG
rnacentral:rRNA from 1 species